AUUGAACGCUGGCGGAAUGCUUUACACAUGCAAGUCGAACGGUAGAGGGGGCAACCCCUCGAGAGUGGCGAACGGGUGAGUAAUAUAUCGGAACGUGCCCAGUCGUGGGGGAUAACGUAGCGAAAGUUACGCUAAUACCGCAUACGAUCUAAGGAUGAAAGCGGGGGAUCGGAAGACCUCGCGCGAUUGGAGCGGCCGAUAUCAGAUUAGGUAGUUGGUGGGGUAAAGGCUCACCAAGCCAACGAUCUGUAGCUGGUCUGAGAGGACGACCAGCCACACUGGAACUGAGACACGGUCCAGACUCCUACGGGAGUCAGCAGUGGGGAAUUUUGGACAAUGGACGCAAGUCUGAUCCAGCCAUUCCGCGUGCAGGAUGAAGGCCCUCGGGUUGUAAACUGCUUUUGUACGGAACGAAAAGGUCUCUCUUAAUACGGGGGACUCAUGACGGUACCGUAAGAAUAAGCACCGGCUAACUACGUGCCAGCCGCCGCAGUAA
rnacentral:rRNA from 1 species